CGCUGGCGGCACGCCUAACACAUGCAAGUCGAACGAAGUAGCAAUACUUAGUGGCGAACGGGUGAGUAUAAUGUGGGUAUCUGCCUUUUGGUUUGGAAUAACACGGGGAAACUUGUGCUAAUACCGGAUAAGCCUUUACAGGGAAAGUUUUAACGCCAAAAGAUGAGCCCGCACUUGAUUAGCUAGUUGGUAAGGUAAUGGCUUACCAAGGCAACGAUCAAUAGCUGAUCUGAGAGGAUGAUCAGCCACAUUGGGACUGAGACACGGCCCAAACUCCUACGGGAGGCAGCAGUGGGGAAUCUUGCACAAUGGGGGAAACCCUGAUGCAGCGAUGCCGCGUGAGUGAAGAAGGCCCUUGGGUUGUAAAGCUCUUUCGUCGGGGAAGAAAAUGACUGUACCCGAAUAAGAAGGUCCGGCUAACUUCGUGCCAGCAGCCGCGGUAAUACGAAGGGACCUAGCGUAGUUCGGAAUUACUGGGCUUAAAGAGCUCGUAGGUGGUUAGAAAAGUUGGUGGUGAAAUCCCAAGGCUUAACCUUGGAACUGCCGCCAAAACUUUUUGACUAGAGUAUGAUAGAGGAAAGUGGAAUUUCUAGUGUAGAGGUGAAAUUCGUAGAUAUUAGAAAGAACACCGAUUGCGAAGGCAACUUUCUGGAUCAUUACUGACACUGAGGAGCGAAAGCAUGGGUAGCGAAGAGGAUUAGAUACCCUCGUAGUCCAUGCCGUAAACGAUGUGUGCUAGACGUUGGAAAUUUAGUUUUCAGUGUCGCAGCAAAAGCGUUAAGCACACCGCCUGGGGAGUACGACCGCAAGUAAACCCAAUGAUACG
rnacentral:rRNA from 1 species